CCCCGCCUCCUCUCCUCUUCAGGAGAAAGCCAAACCCCGGCACUAGACGUGCCAAGGAUCCGAAACACAGUUCUGGUCGACUCCGAAGGACAGCGUCCGACGGAAUCGUCACGAAAAGAAUCAAAACGACUCUUGGCAACGGAUAUCUUGGCUCUUGCAUCGAUGAAGAACGUAGCGAAAUGCGAUACUUGGUGUGAAUUGCAGAAUCCCGUGAACCAUCGAGUCUUUGAACGCAAGUUGCGCCCAAAGCCAUUAGGCCGAGGGCACGCCUGCCUGGGUGUCACACAUCGUCAUCCCCAUGCAAAAGCGCAUCGGGGCGAAAGGUGGCCUCCCGCGACACACCCGUCGUGGUUGGUCGAAAACCAAGGUAACGUCGGGGUCCCCCCCGCCAGAAACGGUGGAUGAGCAACGCUCGAGACCAACAACGGCGGCGGCGGACACCCGGCAAUCCAAUCGAUCGACCCUAUCGCGUUCCUUGCAUAAUAAACAGGCAAAGACGCUCUAACGAGACCUCAGUCAGGCGG
rnacentral:rRNA from 1 species